GCCGGGGGAGGUGGCGGGCGCCUGUAGUCCCAGCUACUCCGGAGGCUGAGGCAGGAGAAUGGCGUGAACCUGGGAGGCGGAGCUUGCAGUGAGCUGAGAUCCGGCCACUGUACUCCAGCCUGGACGANNNNNNNNNNCGGAGUCUCGCUCUGUCGUCCAGGCUGGAGUACAGUGGCCGGAUCUCAGCUCACUGCAAGCUCCGCCUCCCAGGUUCACGCCAUUCUCCUGCCUCAG
rnacentral:SRP_RNA from 1 species